AAUAUUGCACAAUGGAGGAAACUCUGAUGCAGCGACGCCGCGUGAGUGAAGAAGGUCUUCGGAUCGUAAAACUUUGUCCUUGGUGAAGAUAAUGAAGGUAGCCAAGGAGGAAGCACCGGCUAGCUACGUGCCAGCAGCCGCGGUAAUACGUAGGGGGCUAGCGUUGUACGGAUUUACUGGGCGUAAAGGGUGAGUAGGCGGUUAUGUAUGUCAGAUGUAAAAGGCGUGGGAUUAACUUACGUUAGCAUUUGAAACUGCAUAACUUGAGUGCGGGAGAGGUAAGUGGAAUUCCUAGUGUAGCGGUGAAAUGCGUAGAUAUUAGGAGGAACACCAGUGGCGAAGGCGACUUACUGGACCGUAACUGACGCUGAGUCACGAAAGCGUGGGUAGCAAACAGG
rnacentral:rRNA from 1 species